UGCAUAUCUGAAAUAAACUAUGAUUAUAGAUUAAAGAAAUAAUUUCUCUCUAAGGUAUUUCAGCUUUAAAUAUACAUACACAGAUAAAAAUUCAGGCCCUCACAGACUGACACAGAUGAAUUAUUCUUAAUGUCAAAGUAUCAGGAAUACAGACAGAAAAAAUAUGUUGUUUCUUACGUACCAUGAGAAAAACUUCUAGAAGGAGAAUAAUAACUAAAAAUGUUUGACAUAGUUGAUACAUAUUUAACUUGAUGGUUUUCUUUUACAUGUCCCAGGCGUUGAAAUCACUGCUUAGUUACACUAGAUGGAGUAGAUGGAAGGAAAGCAAGGUGGAGUUUCUAUUAAAACAACCAUUAUAUACACUUUGUAGUUGCUGGUUAAGUAUAUACUGCUUUAACACAGUGUAAUACAUAUACACUCCUAUUAACUUUUAAUGAGAUGACCCAAAGCAAUCUAGUUGUGGCAGCUCAGACUUGAAAAAAGGCUAAUUCACUCUGUUGGCAGUAAGAGACACUAGACAGACUCUGGCAGACAGAUGAGUGAAAGAAGGAAAUAGGGACGUGAUACAAGAUCAGCAGCCUAAGGUUUUCGUAGGAAGCAGGACAAGAGAGUAGCUUUACUAUAAGACAAGCUGUUUGUGCUGAGCUUUUACCAAGUGAAAAGGUACACAGAAGAUGUCUAAGGGCUGUUGGAGACUGGAAUCACUGUCUGAGGAAAGAGGGGAGUUAUCCAGCCAGCUGAUAAUAGUUGAUAUGAGAUGCUAAAGAAACAUGGUCUUUUUAGUCUACUGAAGGGAAAAUUAAGGGAACCAUUCAGUGCCUUGAAGCUUUUCACUCAGACUAGAGAUGAGGUAUGAUUGUAAUUGUGACAAAAAUUAACAACUUAUAUUUGAUUGUAGAGUCCAUCAAAGACUGAAAUGGAGUUAAGAGUUUAUCUAUGUAGAUCUUAACAUGCUCUUUCCACCUGCCACCUAGAACCUCUGAGGUAGAUGGCUUAUUCAGUAGAGAGAUAUAGAGGUAUGACAUGGAGGUACAAACUGAGCUGGAUGCAAUGUAGACUAACUUGCACUAGUGUCUCAUGUAAUGAGACAAAAGUGUUUGCUAAGGAGGGCGGGAUAGGAGAAAAACAAAACUCCUCCCUCUGAGUAAUUAUAACUUUGAAAUUAAGAGUCUUCAGUUGAAAAGGUGUGGAAAAUAACAGCUCUUUACUAAAUAUAUAUAUAUAUAUAUGUAACACAGCAGAACAAGCAACAAUUCCGUAACCAAACAAUGAAGUACUUUUUCCCUUUCGGCACAGGUACAACCACCCCCGGCAGGGGGCGCUGGCGCCUCGGGAGGCGGGGCUGCGGUGCCCCACUCGCGGCCAGCAGGGGGCGCUGUUGGAUCGGCAGGAGCGGGGGCUGCAGUGGCGCUCCGAUGGCCGGCAGGGGGCGCUGUGGCGCCCGGCACGGGCCGGAGCCGGGUCGAUCCCAAACGCGUCCCGGGGACACGGGCUGACACCAGCUCGGGAAGGGAGAAGGGGGAAGGGGGGCUCCUCCUGGGGACUCACGCUGUCGAAGGCUGGCUCUGACUGAGAUCCCCUUCCUCGUCAAUGGAUGCAAGCUGCCACCUAUCCUUGGAGAAAUGCUGUAAUGAAAAGGCAGAUGUCAUCAAAAACCAUCUAGAAUAAGUGCAUGAAGUUCCCUGAGUUGUGCUAUUUAGUAGAUAAGCCCACAGUGACAUGCAAUUCUCUGGCUGCUAGAAUUGAUUACUCUAGCUGAAAACAAAUGAAAAAUUAAAGUGAUCAAAUAAUGAGGAAUGAAUAAAAUGUUAUUUGAAUGGCCACAUCUGCUAUUCGUUAAGAUAUUUAAAAUUAUUUCCACCAGCAGAAUGAUCACCAUGCCUUGCCUGAGCUGGUUGCUUGUUUCAGUCUUGCCAUAUUGUGAUUUGCGUCUGCAUGGACAUAAGCAAAUAUGUUAUUGUCACAGUUUGGCAGUGUGUGACAAAAUGAAAUGCCAUAAAUUAUUUAUCCCUUAUUCAUUAUUCUUAGAUCCAUCAUGUUUAUGAAUAUUACUCUCUAUAAAUUUUAAUUCAUUUAUUCAUUUAAAUGUGUCCCUCCAGAAUUUUUUUUUGAAUGAAAGAAUGAAGAUUAUGUAAAGCUGAAGUAGCUCUCUCUGGAGAAUUUGGGCAAAUGGGCAGAAAAUUUUAUAAUGAAAUUUAGCUGCAUUAAGUAUAAUUCUUAAUGGAAUCUACUGAGGUUUGUAAAUAUAAUUCAUACUUCUAUUUUAUGCAUUAUUCCAUCUUUGAUGCUAUUAAAUCAAUCCUCAUUUACCUUUCUUAGAACAGUGACUGACAAACUUAUUUUAAGGUAGUUUAAACAAGGUUUGUGAUCUUAUUUUAAUGAUACUAGGUAGAGAAUCCUGUGUAUGCUAUUGCAAAGAACAAAUUAUUUUUUAAGAAUGAAGACACUGUGUUGUACUCUAGUUGCUGGGAAGCAUUUUGGAGGUAAGCAUUAUUUGUACAGAUUUCCAUUUGCUUUUGUGGAUGUUCUGAGAUCCAAAUAGACAAAAAAAACUGGUUCAAGUGCCAGCUGCUCUUGGUGUUGGUUUGAGAAUUCUUCACUUACCACUAUAGUCCUACAUGGUGGAAAAACUGCAAAUUCAAAGCUGCUGGACAAUGUCUGAUUGUGCUUUGUAGGUAUCAGUCUGUUUAUUUUCUCUUGCUUUACCUCCACCUGCCGUGAAUAUGUAACCACGUCAUGGAAAGUGGAACAACUUGUGGAGGAGAGCUUAACAUCCUGCCAGUGACUGGACGUAUUUUGACCACUUUGGUGGAUUAGUUGCUUAUAAAGAAAUUUAUUUCUGAAGUUACCAGUAAAAGUAUCUCCCGAGAAAACGUGUGCAGAGUCCUGUCUUUAUGCUACCUCAAGUACUGGAGACCGGCGGUUGUGCUUUAGCUUGGAUCAUGCGUUGGUUUCCAUUGUUUUGAUGCACUCAGCCUUCCUAGGCAGUAAAAAUUGCUCUUCAUCUACCUUUGUGUUGCAUG